AUUUCUUCAGCUGUUCUUUGUCAUGGAAGUAUCUUAUUUCUCCAUCAGUUUUGAAAGAUAGUUUUUCAGGGUGCAUCAAUCAGGGUUGGAUGUUGUUUUCCUUUAGGGCUUGAAAUACUUCACUUCAAGCUCUCCUUGACUUGAGAGUUUGUGUUGAGAAGUCUGUUGUGGUUCUGAUGGGCUUUCCUUUAUAGGAGAUUUGUUUCUUUUCCCUAACAGCUUUUAAUAUUCUGUCCUUGUGUUGAAUUUCUGGAAUCUUGACUAUUAUAUGCCUUGGGCAAGAUUUUACUGGUCAUGGCUAAUUGGAGUCUUAUAUGCCUCACUUACCUGUAUGUCAAAUUCUUUUCCCCUGUUUGAGAAGUUUUCUACCAUUAUUUCUGAGAAUAGAUUUUUUUUAAUGUCAUUUGCACUAUCUCCUGCUUUUUCAUUGACUCCAAUUAAUCUUAGUUAUUUUUCUUUGCAUCAUCUAGUAGCUGCUGGAUUGAUCUCUCUUGGUCCCUUGCUAUUUUUAAGAAAUUUCUCUUUUCAUGAUCAUUAACUGCAAUCCUGUCUUCUUAUCUGAUAGUCUGUCCUCACAUUGGCUCAUUCUGCUGUGUACUAUAAAUGGAAUUUUUAAUCUCCUGGGAAUCUGUUUGAAUCUGUUUCAUGGGUUCAAUUUCUUUCCUAUGCCAGGUGUUCAUGGUUUCUAUUUCUCUUCUAUGCUGGGUGUUCAUGGUUUCCAUCAUGAUCCUGAGCUCUUCUAUUUUUUAUCUGUAUCUGCUCUAGGGUCACUGAGCAAGUCUUUCUUUCUGGUCACCAUCUCUGUCCUUAUGUGGAAAAUUAUUUCUGCUUUGAUUUUUUUCUAGAGCCUUGGUCAUCUGCUUUGUUACUUCUGAAGUUACCACUUCAGAGAGUCCAGGGCUCCUCAGACUCAUGCCCGGCUUGGAAAAUCAAGGGUGUGAACAUCCUCUGCGACAACUGAUGGCCAAGGGUAGCAGGAGCUGAUGAAUAAGUCAUCCUCCCACAGGGUAUAUGUCCCGUAUGUUCCGAGAUCCUCAGUGGAUGCCUGAAAUGCUGAAACUACAGUGGUCCUGAGCUCUAUGUAUUCACAUACACUUCAGGAAAAGAAGAACUCGCAUAAAUAUUUUAAUACUAAAUUUAUUGAGACAUCAUGAGAUUCAUACUAGUUACCUUUGGCCUCUACAACGACAAGAGGUGCUCAAAGUGGUGGCCAUGAGCUCCCAGACAUUUAUUAGUCCAGCGAAUUGCUGCUUGGGUAACUUUGAUCAAAGUGUCCCUUGAGAUUGCUGCAUGUGCAUUUUCAAUUUCUUCCCUACAGCUGGCAGUGUAGUGAGUUUUCUGGAAUAUACAGCAUCCUUUAGGGUCCUCCCUAGAUAAAAGUCUGCAGGUGUUAAAUCAGGAGAACAUGUGGGGAACUCAACUGCAACAAGUGACAUAAACAUCAGUGACACAAUGGAGGAGGCACGGUUACCGAUUAAGGACCAUAAGAACAUUUCAAUGUAGUAUUUCAAAUUCAAGACUCUCGGUGAAGUACAAUGAUGAUGUGGGCCUGAGUUGGGAACAGAACCUCCAACACACCUGACAAUUGCACGGAUUCAGGAUAAGUUCAAAAACCAUGAUACCAUGUGGGAUGUGCAUAAAGGAAAAUCCGGCAGACCUCUUACAGCAGCAGGUGCUGUUUCCUUGGCGGCGGUGCUGGAACAAUUCACACCUUCACCACAGAAGUCUGGCACAGUGUGCACCGAGACAGGAGUAAGCAGUGCAAGCACAUGGAGCAUUCUUAAGAGAGAAGCUGAUCCUGCCAAAAACAUUUUAUUUAUCUAAUGUGCAACAGUCCAGUGCACAUUGAUGAUUAUCUGUAGCAUUCGACUCCAUGCCCCUGGUCAUGACAGCAAGAAUCUUUGGAAACAGUAGGACAACUGAAACAAUACUAAAAGCCCAAGGGAAUUCAAUAAAGCAGAUGUGCACUGGCAGCUUCACAGCAAAGGAAGAAAUUUAAAGCCACACUGAGUUGUGCAGAAGGCCUUCAGAUGUGCAAUGGCAAAAGAAUCAUCUAAGUAUUUCUGUGUUUCUUCUGGACAAUGGGAUUGAGAAUGAAGGUGGCAGCUGAACACGACUGUGAAUUCAAAGGCCACAGCGGCAACAGAGGACAAAAUCCAUCAUGAGCCUGAUGGGUUGGUGAGACGGAUUCAGGCACAGUGGGAAGGUGUAGGUUUGGCAAAAGGAUGAGGGUCCCACCUUAACAGCUGGUUUUUGGCAGUCUUCCCAGAAGUGCCUCCCUGAACUCUGAACAGCAGGUAUGAAUAAUGGCAGUUUCCAAAUCCUAUCACCCAGUCUUAAUCAUCCACAGCAUAGAUCCAUCCAGCAUGGCUUUAGUGAAUGCUUGGCCCAGUCGAAACAGAAGUUAAGUGCAGUAAAAGUUCUGGUGCAUCUAGUUAUAGCUGAGACUUUGUGCUGUCAGGCAUGUUUUUACUUGAAACUAUGAGAUAAACAUAGCAUUGCGUUACAAUGCUAAUUCCAUUUGAUGGUGAGCAAUUAAAAACAUUACAUUAAAAAUGAAAACAUUGUAGCUGAGAUGAAAAACUUGGAUGAGUUGAAAGAUUUCAAAGAAUGUUCUUAAUGGAGCAGUUGAUGCCAGAACCCUUGCGAGUACAAGUCUAUUCCUUCCUUCAUUAGGAUUGCUUCAGUCAGAAACAUUUAUAAUGCCUUGGAGGACAGGAUCAAUUCCAAGUCCGAGACCCCAUUUCUCCAUGAUCUGAUCAUGCCUGACUUGCCACCUUCUUCUCUUUAAUGGUUCUCUCAAAACUCCAUUCAACAAGGAUCUACACCACUUAACAGCCAUAGAAAUGCCAAAAAUGAAUUUUAUAUAAAAAAUUAGAAGCAUACAAAGCUUUGAGGAGGUCAAGGAGAACAAGGUUCAGGAAAUCAGGGUUGCAGGAAGAGCAAGAAAGCAUUGCCAGCACCUGGGGCUGUCCACAGCCAUGUACCAAAGCCCAAAGCUUCACUUCUACUGUCCAAAUGUUGCAUGGGUGGCUCAAACCCAGGAACUCAGUGUUAUGGCUGAGUUAUGUCCCUAAGGAUUCUUAUAUCAAAGUCCUGAUCCCCAGUCCCUGAGAUUUUAUUUGGAAAUCAGGACUUUAAAGAGGCGAUUGAUGUAGAGUGAGGCUGUAUGGACAGGGCCUUAAUCCCAUAAGAUGAUAUCCUUACUAAAGGAGAUUAGGACAAAGAAGGAAAGUGGUCAUACCCAAGCCAAGGAGAAGGGUUUCAGAAGAAACCAGCACUACCAAUACUUGGAUCUUAGAAUUCUAGCUCCCCAGAAAUUCCUGCUGUUUCAGCUGUCUGGUUUAUGAUAAUUUGUUGUAGCAGCCCUAGCAAAUGAAUAUGUUCUGGAAGUAGGGAUUUUGCAAGACAUAGGUCCUAAGUUUCCAGUCCCCAUGGUAUAAGGCAGAACUUUGAAGGGCCAGUGGUACUGAGUUGCCAAGAGACAAGUUGGCACAGCCGUCCUUCACUGGGCACAUGCAAGACCACUCACGUCCCAAGCUCUGUGUACAUUUAUCCUACUUCACUGAGUCCUUCCAUCACCCACUCACAGCCCCAAACCUGGGUCUCCCAGGUAGUGCCCUGUCUGGUUGCAUCUGCUUCCUCCUCUCUGGUCCACCUAGGGAGGACCUCCUGAUCUUUAGGUCUUCCUCCACGCCCUUUCCAACAGCCCUUCCCCUUUCACUCACCAUCCCUCCCCAUGUUGUCCAGUUUGGUUUGCUUCCUCCUCGUUAUGGUUGUGUCUAGUUGUCCCCUCAAAGCCUCAUGUGGUCAUAGGUGGGGCUGCUCAGAGGUGGCUGGAUCUGAGAUGUGCGCUGCUAGAAUUAAGGGUGUGAUGCUUAGAAAUAAAACAAAAUUCUAAACAGGGCAAUAAUAAUAGAAGAAAAUAUUAUUAGCAGUGGUUAUCUUUGGGUGAUUCCCCCCAACUACUGUUGCUUAUUUUGUACUUCUAAUUCAUCCAUAAUGAAGAUGAACUUGUUUUAUUAUAGGCUUUUAAAAAAUCCAUGUCCUACCCCAAAUAUUUUUGCUGUCAAUUCCUUUAUACCUUGUAGUUAAGGGACAUUAUUUAGAGGAAUUUUCUGUGACCAGGAGAGAAAAGGCCACUGUGUCCUGCCACUGAGCCACUCAGAAGACAGAACCUCAGGAAAGGAAGGCAAAGACCAACCAGCCUUGGUGCCCUUGUUCUUCCACACCAGAGCAAUAGGAUAAGGAGCAGCACUGGUGGGUCUUUCCAGAGCUGACUAGGGAGCUGACACAUCCACUGUAUAGGCCCAAAGCACACUAAGAUGGCCAAAUCCUGCCCUGACACCACCCUACCCGGAAGCUUCUUGCAAACCACCCCAAGGUCUACAUUCCCUUUGGACACUCCUACUGUAAGUUUGAACGGGUCUCAUGAAACAAGGUGUUAUGUCUGCUUUGCUGAGUCCUCAGCAUAUGACACAGUGUCUGCUCUGAAAGUUCGGAAUGAAUGAACAAGUGAAUGAAUGAAUGAAUGAACUCCUUACAUCUUUGUUUCUCCAGGUCACAUAGCCCCAGUUCCUUCAAUAGUUUCUUUCUAAUGUGCUUCCUGGGCUCUUCCCCACUUCCCUUUGGAUACCGUCCAAUGUGUCAAUGCUCCUCUUAAAAUGUGGAGCCCAGGAGUACACAUAGCAGUCCUCGCAUGUGUGGAGAGUGUACAGUUCACAGGAGUCAGAACUUCUUCUGUUAGCAUGACCCACUUUUAUGGUGCAUCUCAAGAUCAGUUAUUGACAAAGCCACAGAUGUUCAAACACUCUAGACUGGAAUGUCAGGGCUUGAGGAUCGUCGUGACCAGUCCCAGCCCCACUGUGCUCCCUCCUUUGAACACUGAAGAUGCGGAAACACAUGGUGAGAAAGCUGCAGGCUCAGGAUUUGAAAGCCCUAGGCUCUGCUCCUUGGGAUGGUCAUAAUGUCCAUUGAGUGCUGGGCUCACACUGGGCCAAUCAUCAUGCCAAGGGCCUCACGUGCAUUUCUCACUCAAACCUUGCUGCAAGCACUGAUGCUAUUUUUAAUCCAUGUUUUACAAGUAGGGAAACUGAGGCUCAGAAAGAGGCUGAGAAACCUGCCUUUGUUAGUCUCCAUUAACUAGCUGACAAGGAGUCUUGACCUGGUCACUUGGACUCUGGGCUUCACCUUCCUUAUCAGUCGAAUAGAAGUAAUAAUAACAGCCUUGGAGAAUUAUUGGCAGGAUUUAUUAAAGAGAUGCAGUGAAAGUGAGUAUUAAAACGUAAACUGGUGAUACAUUAUUGUAAAGAAUCUGACUUUCCAGAACACUGUCUGGAGACCUAGACUCCAAUUUCCUCUCCUUGUCUGCCCAUUCCAGAUUGCUGUCAGUCGACGUAACAAAUGUUUUCUUCCUUGCUGCAAUCCUGGGCUUCCUGUUAUAGAUUAAGAGUAAUUACUCCCAAAUGGAUACAUAAAAGCCUAAUUUCUGGCCAACACACAUCAAGACUUCCAUAAAUAUGCAUGUAGGUUUUAUUUAUUAUUCUUCAUUAAAUCUAUUUCAAGUGAAAACAAACAAAUCCACUCUUCAAGUAUUAAAUUAGCUCAGCACGAAAGUGUCGCCUUGCAUCAGUAUUACAGAAGAGGGCGCUGUUUCUCUAUAAAGUGGGCAGUCAGGCUUUCCAACGGGGAUUAGCAAAUUUGGAAAGGUGACUGCUGGGUGGAGUUUAGUGGGCAGGGCUUGCUGGGC
ensembl:lncRNA